rnacentral:rRNA from 1 species
GGGGAAUAUUGCGCAAUGGGGGAAACCCUGACGCAGCGACGCCGCGUGAGCGAAGAAGGCCUUCGGGUUGUAAAGCUCUGUUGUAAGGGACGAAGUGCCAGAGGAGUAACUGCCUUUGGAGUGACGGUACCUUACCAGCAAGCCCCGGCUAACUACGUGCCAGCAGCCGCGGUAAGACGUAGGGGGCGAGCGUUGUCCGGAAUUACUGGGCGUAAAGAGCACGUAGGCGGAUAAUUAAGUCAGGUGUGAAAGGCCGCAGCCCAACUGCGGGAUUGCACUUGAAACUGAAUAUCUUGAGGGCAGGAGAGGUUAGUGGAAUUCCUGGUGUAGCGGUGAAAUGCGUAGAAAUCAGGAGGAACACCAGUGGCGAAGGCGACUAACUGGACUGACCCUGACGCUGAGGUGCGAAAGCGUGGGUAGCAAAC